AGGGGCUUAGGUAAGACCAGACCAAGGACCUUCAAAGCCCUAAGCGAGGGUGAAAGCCCCCCAGCCCCUG
rnacentral:tRNA from 1 species